rnacentral:rRNA from 1 species
CGAACGCUGGCGGCGCGUUUUAAGCAUGCAAGUCGAACGGUAGUAGAGUGCUUGCACUCUAUGAGAGUGGCGAACGGGUGAGUAACACGUAGGUGAUCUGCCCUUGAGUUGGGGAUAGCCCAUGGAAACAUGGGGUAAUACCGAAUACGUUCCGGAGGUUCUAGCCACCGGAGGAAAAGCGCUUCGGCGCUGCUCGAGGAUGAGCCUGCGGCUGAUUAGUUAGUUGGUGGGGUAAAGGCCUACCAAGGCGACGAUCAGUAGCCGGCCUGAGAGGGUGAGCGGCCACACUGGGACUGAGAUACGGCCCAGACUCCUACGGGAGGCAGCAGCUAAGAAUCUUCCGCAAUGGACGAAAGUCUGACGGAGCGACGCCGCGUGGGUGAUGAAGGCCGGAAGGUUGUAAAGCCCUUUUCUAUCUGAGGAAUAAGCUCAGGAGGCAAUGCCUGAGUGAUGACGGUAGGGUAGGAAUAAGCCCCGGCCAAUUAC